rnacentral:ncRNA from 2 species
GUCUCGGGUCCGAGGCCUGGUGCUAGGUUGGCCGGGCGUCGAGCAGGGAAAGUCCGGUGAGAUCCCGGCGCUGACCCGCAACGGUGACCGCUACGGCGGCGAGCCCGAAUGCCUGUGCGGCGCAGUCCGGUUGC